rnacentral:lncRNA from 1 species
CCAGCUGUCCGUUGCCGCUGACCCCAAUGACCCUGCUGGCUCCAGGGAUGAGGAGACGGUGCUGCUGCAAUUUGGUAAGGUCGAUGACGACAUCUUCACGAUGGAUUAUCGGCAGCCACUGUCGGCAUUUCAGGCCUUUGCCAUCAGCCUCAGCAGCUUUGGCACCAAGCUGGCUUGUGAAUAGAGCGAUAUGGUGAUGCUCGCAGUAUCACCGCUUUGGUUGUCGCAGUGGAUGCAUUCCACGAGUCUUGUUGCGUCUCGGUAAUUCGGCGUUUUCUUCCUUUUUUUUUUUAGUUUGAUGUCGAUGUGCUAUAUGUUUGUAUCAUGAGCAUGUAUACAAGAAAAAUGUAUGGUUCGGUGAAUGUAUUUAGUUCCAACAAGGGAAUUGUGCUGUAUAAAGUUUCACCCAAAACUGAAGUGAAAACCCAGGGUUCUAAUGUAAGUACAUAGUGUUGUGGUGAAGUGGGACUUUCUCCUACCUGCACGUCAGCUGAGGAGAAAGAUGAAGCGGAAAUCUGGU